AUGGAAAGAAAGACACCACUACUUCGCCUUUUUGUUGGACCGCCGGCGCGAACACAGUGUUGGUGGGCUCAUCAUGAAUUAGGUCGGGGUGGCUGGUGGUUUCGGGAUCCCGUAGAAAAUGCGUCUUUUAUGCCUCGGGUAUUAGCCACAGCUCGUAUUCAUUCAGUAAUUCUACCCCUUCUUCAUUCUUGGACCUCGCUUCUGAAUAUUUUGACUCUUCCAUGUUGUGUCUUAGGAACCUUUUCAAUACGGUCCGGAUUGCUAGCUCCCGUUCAUAGUUCCGCUACAGACGAUACACGAGGAAGAUUUUUAUGGCGGUUCUUCCUUCUAAUUACAGGCAUAUCUAUGACUCUUUUUUACCAGAUGAAGCAGGAGGCAUCGGUCCGUAGAACCUAUAAAAAAGAGAUGGUUGUGGCGCGAAGUACUCUUGUGCACCUACAUCACUCGGCUCACGCGCAACCCCGCCCCGUUAUGUUAUGUUAUGGAAGAAUUUAG
rnacentral:rRNA from 1 species